rnacentral:rRNA from 1 species
GACGAACGCUGGCGGCGUGCCUAAUACAUGCAAGUCGAGCGCAGGAAGCCGUCUGAACCCUUCGGGGGGGCGACGGUGGAAUGAGCGGCGGACGGGUGAGUAACACGUAAAGAACCUGCCCAUAGGUCUGGGAUAACCACGAGAAAUCGGGGCUAAUACCGGAUGUGUCAUCGGACCGCAUGGUCCGCUGAUGAAAGGCGCUCCGGCGUCGCCCAUGGAUGGCUUUGCGGUGCAUUAGCUAGUUGGGGGGGUAACGGCCCACCAAGGCGACGAUGCAUAGCCGACCUGAGGGGGUGAUCGGCCACACUGGGACUGAGACACGGCCCAGACUCCUACGGGAGGCAGCAGUAGGGAAUCUUCCACAAUGGACGAAAGUCUGAUGGAGCAACGCCGCGUGAACGAUGAAGGCUUUCGGGUCGUAAAGUUCUGUUGUAAGGGAAGAACAAGUGCCGCAGGCAAUGGCGGCACCUUGACGGUACCUUGCGAGAAAGCCACGGCUAACUACGUGCCAGCAGCCGCUGUAACAC